UAGGGAAUCUUCGGCAAUGGACGAAAGUCUGACCGAGCAACGCCGCGUGAGUGAAGAAGGUUUUCGGAUCGUAAAACUCUGUUGUUAGAGAAGAACAAGGACGUUAGUAACUGAACGUCCCCUGACGGUAUCUAACCAGAAAGCCACGGCUAACUACGUGCCAGCAGCCGCGGUAAUACGUAGGUGGCAAGCGUUGUCCGGAUUUAUUGGGCGUAAAGCGAGCGCAGGCGGUUUCUUAAGUCUGAUGUGAAAGCCCCCGGCUCAACCGGGGAGGGUCAUUUGAAACUUGGAUGCUUGAGUCCAGAAGAGGAGAGUGGAAUUCCAUGUGUAGCGGUGAAAUGCGUAGAUAUAUGGAGGAACACCAGUGGCGAAGGCGGCUCUCUGGUCUGUAACUGCCGCUGAGGCUCGAACGCGUGGGGAGCAAACAGG
rnacentral:rRNA from 1 species